ACGAACGCUGGCGGCGUGCUUAACACAUGCCAGUCGAACGGAAAGGCUCCAGCUUGCUGGAGUACUCGAGUGGCGAACGGGUGAGUAACACGUGGGUAAUCUGCCCUGCACUCUGGGAUAAGCCUGGGAAACUGGGUCUAAUACUGGAUAUGACCUUUCUCCUUAUGGGGUUUGGUGGAAAGUUUUUCGGUGUAGGAUGAGCCCGCGGCCUAUCAGCUUGUUGGUGGGGUGAUGGCCUACCAAGGCGACGACGGGUAGCCGGCCUGAGAGGGUGAUCGGCCACAUUGGGACUGAGAUACGGCCCAGACUCCUACGGGAGGCAGCAGUGGGGAAUAUUGCACAAUGGGCGGAAGCCUGAUGCAGCGACGCCGCGUGAGGGAUGACGGCCUUCGGGUUGUAAACCUCUUUCAGCAGGGACGAAGCGUAAGUGACGGUACCUGCAGAAGAAGCACCGGCUAACUAUGUG
rnacentral:rRNA from 1 species